GCAGCGCCCAGGGACACUCCUACCUGAAGAAGUAGGCGGCGAGGAGGAGCAAGAGGAGGAGCAGCAGCAUAGGCAACAGCAGCCAGAGAAACUAAAAAGCUCCGUCAUCCUGCUGGAGACCACAGUGCCAGCUUUCAGAAGAGUUCAAAGUGCUCUGGCAGAUCCUGCCGCACCUCUGGGAAACGGCUCCCGGAGGUACACAGUCAUUCUGAUCACAGCUGCUGUCCCUGCAGAGUGAAUAUGGGAAAGACCCUGUGUCACAAGGCAAGAUGGCCUGAGUUCCAGCGCAUUAACUGAAUGACCUUGGGCCAGCUGUCCCCAUCUUUGUGUUUGUAAAAUGAGGAGAGCAGUAACCUGGUAUGCUGACGGGGAAAGUCCUUUGGGGACCCUGGCAGUGCAGACUCCGAUCAAGGUUGCAGCUCCAGAGUGGAGGUGGAUACACCAGGUUGCUCUUAGAAUCCUCCUGGGUGAAGUGAUACCUCUGAGAAUGUCAUGGAAGAGGAUGGAGAGCCAACUUGCAAGGAUCGUGCACGGACCAGAGUCUUGCGAUUCAUGUCCACCUGUAACUUCAGGAUGUGGCCUUAUUUGGAUAUAGGGAAUCUUUGUGUGUGUGUGUGUGUGUGUGUGUGUGUGUGUGUGUGUGUGUG